UACGUAGGGGGCAAGCGUUAUCCGGAUUUACUGGGUGUAAAGGGAGCGUAGACGGCUUGGUAAGUCUGAUGUGAAAGCCCAGGGCUCAACCCUGGGACUGCAUUGGAAACUACUUGGCUAGAGUGCAGGAGAGGUAAGUGGAAUUCCUAGUGUAGCGGUGAAAUGCGUAGAUAUUAGGAGGAACACCAGUGGCGAAGGCGACUUACUGGACUGUUACUGACGUUGAGGCUCGAAAGCGUGGGGAGCAAACAGG
rnacentral:rRNA from 1 species